rnacentral:rRNA from 1 species
GACGAACGCUGGCGGCGUGCUUAACACAUGCAAGUCGAGCGGUAAGGCCCCUUCGGGGGUACACGAGCGGCGAACGGGUGAGUAACACGUGAGCAACCUACCCUUCACUUCGGGAUAAGCCUCGGAAACGGGGUCUAAUACCGGAUAUCACUUCAGGCUUCAUGGUCUGGGGUUGAAAGUUCUGGCGGUGGGGGAUGGGCUCGCGGCCUAUCAGCUUGUUGGUGGGGUAAUGGCCUACCAAGGCGUCGACGGGUAGCCGGCCUGAGAGGGCGACCGGCCACACUGGGACUGAGACACGGCCCAGACUCCUACGGGAGGCAGCAGUGGGGAAUAUUGGACAAUGGGCGAAAGCCUGAUCCAGCAAUGCCGCGUGAGUGAUGAAGGCCUUA